rnacentral:lncRNA from 1 species
GUUCUGAAUCUGGCUUCCGAAUGUAUGGAAGCACUGUCCUGGGGUAGCAUGCUCACUAGGAAUCCUUCUUUGCCUAACUACACCUGGACCCAGAAGAAACGUGCAUCGUCCAGGCUGCAACUGGGAGGGAUCCAAGACCCUGCUGCACUGGGCCAGUAUUGCUCCUUCUGGUUCUCAGAGGGUGCAGCCUCUAUUUAGGGUACCCGGUGGAACAGCUAAGGCCCUGUCCUCACUGCUUGACGCACACUGCUCAAUCCGGCACCAUCAUUUUGCCUUUCUAAGCUAUACAGCAAGUCAAAGCUGGGGAUGGGACCCUCACAUCCAUAGGCGUCUUUCUUUACCUCAUUGCCAGGGGAGAGAGCCGAAGGGAAAAUACUGAUGAUUCCCCAACAUAUAAAAGACCCCCUUUAAGCAGCAGUCAGCCCCAGAUACUGGAAGGUGAGGCUCUGUCCUGGGGUGGGGUGGGGUAGACCACUCCUGAGUGAGGUGCCUGAAAACCCUCUGUGUGAUGUAUCACCACCUUCUUGGGCUGCAGGACUUCUGAUGGUAACACUGAUUGAUAAUCAUUAGAGACCCGCGUGGGAAUAUUAUGCCUUCAUUGGAUUUGCUUUCAGCCCUCACUCAGAGCCAGGAAAUGACUUUUUAAAAAAUCACACCAUUGUGUUACAGUUGGUCAGCUGCCCAUUCCUGAAGUGCCCUCCUUUGGGAUUUUGUAGCUUUUUUCCCUAGUGAGUUUUUAUAAUUCAAAACAAACAAUGGGGGUUAUUUAUUAGUAGUGACUUUAUGGAGAAGGAAGUUGAGGCAGCUGUGCAUAUGGCUGGUAGGUGUCAGGGUGGUUUUCAGUAUAUUUUGGUUUUGUGUCCAGCUGGAUGCCAGCUGGAUUAUGAGACAAUAAAAAAAAUCAGAGCCUUCUAUUCAGAAAACCCAUUCAUCUGAUCAUACUGGACACACUUAUAAUUCUCUCAGGUGACAUCAGAGGGGUCACACAGACUCAGGGAGAGAACGCUCUAUAACUGUGUGUGCCAAGAGAACUUUCUGUGUUCUGAUGGAAGUGUUUUAUCUCUGCUCUGUCCAGUCCAGUAGCCGCUGGCCCCAUGUGACUACUGAGCACUCAAAAUGUGGCUAGUGUGACUGAGGAACUGAAUUUUAAUUUUGUUUAAUUUUUUUUAAUCGAAAUUUCAAUAGGCACAUGUGGCCGGUAGGUAGUGUGUUAGGCAGCACAGAUUUAUAAAGCACUGCAUUCCUGGUUUUCAAACUGUUUGACUGUAAUUUCUUGUGAGAAGCACAUUUCAUAUUGCACUGCAGUACAAGCAACUCCCCCCAACCCUCCCACAGCCCCUGUCACCAGAAUUUCACCAAACACUAUUUGGCCUUGCUAUAGGCUGUGCACAGUGGUAUUUUCUGCUUUAUUCUCUUCUAUUUCUUUCUUUUCUUUUUUUGCUUUUUAGGUCCUCACCCAUGGUAUGUGGAAGUUCCCAGGCUAGGGGUCAAAUUGGAGCUGCAGCUGCCAGCCUACAUCACAGCUGCUGCCACGCCAGAUCCGAGCUGCCUCUGCGACCUACAUCGCAGCUCAUGGCAAUACCAGGGAUUGAACCUGCAGCCUCAUCGUUACUAGUCAGAUUUGUUUCUGCCGUGCCACAGCGGGAACCCACUGCCAUUUCCUUUUUAAAGGAGCUGGUAUGACUUGAUAAAUUGAUUGUAUGACUCACAAGCGGGUGGUGAACCUCACUGUGAAGAACAUUGCCUUUCGUUAUCUGCCCCCCCACCUCUAGCCACUUCCUCUCUCAUCCGCUGUCUCUGCACUGGCCUCCUUGUAGGGCCUUUGCAUUUGCUGUUCCCUCUGCCUAGUAUGCUUUUCCCUACAUCAUCUCUUGACCGCAUUUCUCACAUCCUCAGAUUUCAGCUCAAAUGCUCCUGGGAGGUUUCCUCUUGUAACUGCUCUCCUCUGGGAAGCUCCCCCUCCCGCUCCCCUCCGCGUGCUUUUCUCUGUCGCAGUGUUCAUCACCUGACAUAGGCAUCAUUUGUUUAUCGUCCACUUCCCCAGCUAGAAUAUCAGCUCCACAAAGGCAGGAACUGUAUUGUUUGCUGGUAUGUCUGCGCAUCCAGAAAAGUCUUCCAAGGAGUUCCUGUCGUGGUGCAGUGGUUAGUGAAUCUGACUAGGAACCAUGAGGUUGCGGGUUCCAUCCUUGGCCUUGCUCAGUGGUUGCUGGCCUACACCACAGCCGCAGCAAUGCAGGAUCUGAGCCUUAUCUGGGACCUACACCACAGCUCACAGCAAUGCCAGAUCCUUAACCCACUGAGUGAGGCCAGGGAUCGAACCUGCGUCCUCAUGGAUACUAGUCAGGUUUGUAACCUGCUGAGCCACAACAGGAACUCCCUAAUUUUAUUUAAUUUUAUUUUUUUGGCUGUGCCCUUGGCAUGCAGAAGUUCCAGGACCAAGGAUUCAAAUCUGUGUCGUAGCAGUGACAAUGCCAGGUCCUUACCCCACUGAGUCACUAGGGAACUCCAAGAUUUUGUAUUUUUCAAAAGUACAAGCCAGCCCUUAGUAGGGCUGCUGAGAAAUGGGGACAGCAUCACAUGGAGGUCUAGGAAAAUAAUGGCAAACAGAGUUUUACACGGCAACAGUGGGGCCUGGCAGUGUACUCUGUCUUAGCUUAUGUGUGGACUCUGAAACUCUGAGACUAGAAUUCAGGUCUUAUCUUCCAUGCCAGAAGCCCUCCCUGCAUCUUUUUUAUCUUUUUUUAUGGUUUUCUCUUUUCCUCUCAACAUGGAAUUAAACAUGGCCAACCUAAAAAAAAAAAAAAAAAAAA